rnacentral:rRNA from 1 species
UCAAGCAAGAAAGAGCACAGGGCGGAUGCCUUGGCACUAAGAGCCGAUGAAAGACGCGACAAGCUGCGAAAAGCUGCGGGGAGGGGCAAAUGCCCGACGAUCCGCAGGUGUCUGAAUGGGGAAACCCACAUGAGAGGCCCUCAUGUAUCCAUGCGCCAACACAUAACGCAUGGAGGGGAACCCGGCGAACUGAAACAUCUAAGUAGCCGGAGGAAGAGAAAGAAAAGUCGAUUCCGGGAGUAGCGGCGAGCGAAACCGGAGGAGCCCAAACCGCGGCGCGAGCGCCGCGGGGUUAGGACCGCAGGGACCGAGCCAAGCUUUAGCGGAACGGCGUUGGGAAAGCCGGCCAAAGAGGGUGAAAGCCCCGUAGGCGAAAAAGCGAGGGGAGGGAGCGGGAUCCAGAGUACGCCGGGACACGAGAAACCCUGGCGGAAGGCGCGGGGACCACCCCGCAAGGCUAAACACUACUUAGUGACCGAUAGAGCAGAGUACUGUGAAGGAAAGGUGAAAAGAACCCCGGGAGGGGAGUGAAAGAGAGCCUGAAACCCUGCGUUUACAAGCUGUGGGAGCGCCGCAUGGCGCGACCGCGUACUUUUUGUAGAACGGUCCGGCGAGCUGCGCCUGCGGGCAAGGUUAAGGGCUUAAGGCCCGGAGCCGCAGGGAAACCGAGUCUGAAGAGGGCGAGGAGUCGGCAGGCGCAGGCCCGAAACCGGGUGACCUACCCAUGUCCAGGCUGAAGACGCCGUAAAAGGCGUUGGAGGGCCGAACCCACAUCCGUUGAAAAGGGUGGGGAUGAGGCGUGGGUAGGGGAGAAAUUCCAAUCGAACCCGGAGAUAGCUGGUUCUCCCCGAAAUAGCUUUAGGGCUAGCCCUGUAUAAACCCAGCGGAGGUAGAGCACUGGAUUUCCGAGGGGGCGUCAAAGCCUGCCAGAGAAUACCAAACUCCGAAUGCCGUAUGGGUGUUGCACAGGAGUCAGGCUGCACGAGAUAAGUCGGGCAGCCGAGAGGGAAAGAGCCCGGACCCGCGGCUAAGGCCCCAAAGUGCAUGUUAAGUGGAAAAGGAUGUGGGGGUUCAAAGACAGCUAGGAUGUUGGCUCAGAAGCAGCCACACAUUAAAAGAGUGCGUAACAGCUCACUAGCCGAGAGCCCCUGCGCCGAAAAUGUCCGGGGCUAAAACAUGCCGCCGAAGCCCGGGGUCCAUGCAAAAGCAUGGGCGGUAGGGGAGCAUUGCCGGCACGAAGAAGCCGUACCGAGAGGGGCGGUGGAGUGCCGGGAAGGGAGAAUGCCGGAAUGAGUAGCGAGAGGAAGGUGAGAAUCCUUCCGGCCGAAUGUCCAAGGUUUCCAGGGUAAAGCUGAUCUGCCCUGGGUGAGUCGGGGCCUAAGGCGAGGCUGAAAAGCGUAGCCGAUGGAUAACAGGUAGAGAUUCCUGUACUGCCUUAUAACAGAAGAUGCGGGGACGCGUUGGCAAAGUGUGAGCCGGGAAAGGAAAAACCGGUGCAAGGACGAGAGGCGUCGGAGGGGAAAGUCCCUUCCGGCAGCAAGCCGGCCGUCUGAUGCAUAGCGAAAAAGAGUAGCGAAACACAUGGAGCGGGCGCCGAGAAAAGCCGCUAUUGUUUGUAAGGUACCCGUACCGAAGACCGACACAGGUGGACAGGGAGAGGAUCCCAAGGCCGGCGGGCGAAGCACUGCCAAGGAACUCGGCAAAAUGGCCCCGUAACUUCGGGAGAAGGGGCGCCCCCGUGAGGGGGCCGCAGAGAAUAGGCCCAAGCAACUGUUUAGCAAAAACACAGGUCUGUGCAAAACCGCAAGGUGAAGUAUACGGGCUGACGCCUGCCCGGUGCUGGAAGGUUAAGGGGAGGGGUAAGCGGGAAACCGCGAAGCUCCGAGCCUAAGCCCCAGUAAACGGCGGCCGUAACUAUAACGGUCCUAAGGUAGCGAAAUUCAUUGUCGGGCAAGUUCCGACCCGCACGAAAGGCGUAAUGAUUUGGGCGCUGUCUCGGCAGUGCACCCGGUGAAAUUGAAGUGCCAGUGAAGAUGCUGGCUACCUGCGCCAGGAC